rnacentral:rRNA from 1 species
GACGUAGGGCGCGAGCGUUGUCCGGAUUUAUUGGGCGUAAAGAGCUCGUAGGCGGCUUGUCGCGUCGACUGUGAAAACCCGCGGCUCAACCGCGGGCUUGCAGUCGAUACGGGCAGGCUAGAGUUUGGUAGGGGAGACUGGAAUUCCUGGUGUAGCGGUGAAAUGCGUAGAUAUGUGGAGGAAUACCGAUGGCGAAGGCAGCCCCCUGGGAUAACACUGACGCUCAUGCACGAAAGCGUGGGGAGCAAACAGG